UACGGAGGGGGCUAGCGUUGUUCGGAAUUACUGGGCGUAAAGCGCGCGUAGGCGGCUUUGCAAGUCAGAGGUGAAAGCCUGGAGCUCAACUCCAGAACUGCCUUUGAAACUGCAUCGCUUGAAUCAUGGAGAGGUUAGUGGAAUUCCGAGUGUAGAGGUGAAAAUUCGUAGAUAUUCGGAAGAACACCAGUGGCGAAGGCGACUAACUGGACAUGUAUUGACGCUGAGGUGCGAAAGCGUGGGGAGCAAACAGG
rnacentral:rRNA from 1 species